CAACUGUCUAGUUAGCAUUAUACCGUGAAACUGCGAAUGGCUCAUUAAAUCAGUUAUCGUUUAUUUGAUAGUACCUUACUACUUGGACAACCGUGGUAAUUCUAGAGCUAAUACAUGCUGACAACCUCGACUUACGAAGAGGUGUAUUUAUUAGAUAAAAAACCAACGCCCUUCGGGGCUUCUUGGUGAUUCAUAAUAACUUUACGGAUCGCAUGGCCUUGCGCCGGCGACGGUUCAUUCAAAUUUCUGCCCUAUCAACUUUCGAUGGUAAGGUAUUGGCUUACCAUGGUUUCAACGGGUAACGGGGAAUUAGGGUUCGAUUCCGGAGAGGGAGCCCGAGAAACGGCUACCACAUCCAAGGAAGGCAGCAGGCGCGCAAAUUACCCAAUCCCGAUACGGGGAGGUAGUGACAAUAAAUACUGAUACAGGGCUCUUUUGGGUCUUGUAAUUGGAAUGAGUACAAUUUAAACCUCUUAACGAGGAACAAUUGGAGGGCAAGUCUGGUGCCAGCAGCCGCGGUAAUUCCAGCUCCAAUAGCGUAUAUUAAAGUUGUUGCAGUUAAAAAGCUCGUAGUUGAACCUUGGGUCUGGCUGGCAGGUCCGCCUCACCGCGUGUACUUGUCCGGCCGGGCCUUCCUUCUGGAGAACCUCAUGCCCUUCACUGGGCGUGUUGGGGACCAGGACUUUUACUUUGAAAAAAUUAGAGUGUUCAAAGCAGGCCUUUGCUCGAAUACGUUAGCAUGGAAUAAUAGAAUAGGACGUGCGGUCCUAUUUUGUUGGUUUCUAGGACCGCCGUAAUGAUUAAUAGGGACAGUCGGGGGCAUCAGUAUUCAAUUGUCAGAGGUGAAAUUCUUGGAUUUAUUGAAGACUAACUACUGCGAAAGCAUUUGCCAAGGAUGUUUUCAUUAAUCAGUGAACGAAAGUUAGGGGAUCGAAGACGAUCAGAUACCGUCGUAGUCUUAACCGUAAACUAUGCCGACUAGGGAUCGGGCGAUGUUAUUUUUCUGACUCGCUCGGCACCUUACGAGAAAUCAAAGUUUUUGGCUCUGGCGAGAUCC
rnacentral:rRNA from 1 species